rnacentral:rRNA from 1 species
GAUGAACGCUGGCGGCGUGCCUAAUACAUGCAAGUCGAGCGAAUGGAUUGAGAGCUUGCUCUUAUGAAGUUAGCGGCGGACGGGUGAGUAACACGUGGGUAACCUGCCCAUAAGACUGGGAUAACUCCGGGAAACCGGGGCUAAUACCGGAUAACAUUUUGAACCGCAUGGUUCGAAAUUGAAAGGCGGCUUCGGCUGUCACUUAUGGAUGGACCCGCGUCGCAUUAGCUAGUUGGUGAGGUAACGGCUCACCAAGGCAACGAUGCGUAGCCGACCUGAGAGGGUGAUCGGCCACACUGGGACUGAGACACGGCCCAGACUCCUACGGGAGGCAGCAGUAGGGAAUCUUCCGCAAUGGAUGAAAGUCUGACGGAGCAACGCCGCGUGAGUGAUGAAGGCUUUCGGGUCGUAAAACUCUGUUGUUAGGGAAGAACAAGUGCUAGUUGAAUAAGCUGGGACCUUGACGGUACCUAACCAGAAAGCCACGGCUAACUACGUGCCAGCCGCCGCGGUAA